rnacentral:rRNA from 1 species
AGCUCCAAUAGCGUAUAUUAAAGUUGUUGCAGUUAAAAAGCUCGUAGUUGGAUCUCGGGUCCCGGCCUGCGGUUCGCCACACGGCGUCUACUGCCCGUCCGGACCUACCUGCCGGUUUUCCCCUGGUUCUCUUCGUUGAGUGCCUCGGGUGGCCGGAACGUUUACUUUGAAAAAAUUAGAGUGUUCAAAGCAGGCGAUUCGCCUGAAUAAUGGUGCAUGGAAUAAUGGAAUAGGACCUCGGUUCUAUUUUGUUGGUUUUCGGAAGUCGAGGUAAUGAUUAAGAGGGACAGACGGGGGCAUUCGUAUUACGGUGUUAGAGGUGAAAUUCUUGGAUCGCCGUAAGACGAACUACUGCGAAAGCAUUUGCCAAGAAUGUUUUCA